UGGGGAAUUUUGGACAAUGGGCGAAAGCCUGAUCCAGCAAUGCCGCGUGUGUGAAGAAGGCCUUCGGGUUGUAAAGCACUUUUGUCCGGAAAGAAAUCCUUGGCUCUAAUACAGUCGGGGGAUGACGGUACCGGAAGAAUAAGCACCGGCUAACUACGUGCCAGCAGCCGCGGUAAUACGUAGGGUGCAAGCGUUAAUCGGAAUUACUGGGCGUAAAGCGUGCGCAGGCGGUUUGCUAAGACCGAUGUGAAAUCCCCGGGCUCAACCUGGGAACUGCAUUGGUGACUGGCAGGCUAGAGUAUGGCAGAGGGGGGUAGAAUUCCACGUGUAGCAGUGAAAUGCGUAGAGAUGUGGAGGAAUACCGAUGGCGAAGGCAGCCCCCUGGGCAAUACUGACGCUCAUGCACGAAAGCGUGGGGAGCAAACAGGAUUAGAUACCCUGGUAGUCCACGCCCUAAACGAUGUCAACUAGUUGUUGGGGAUUCAUUCCUUAGUAACGUAGCUAACGCGUGAAGUUGACCGCCUGGGGAGUAC
rnacentral:rRNA from 1 species